rnacentral:rRNA from 1 species
AACGUAGGUGGCGAGCGUUAUCCGGAUUUACUGGGCGUAAAGAGCUCGUAGGUGGUUUGUCGCGUUGUUCGUGAAAACUCACAGCUCAACUGUGGGCGUGCGGGCGAUACGGGCAGACUAGAGUACUGCAGGGGGAGACUGGAAUUCCUGGUGUAGCGGUGGAAUGCGCAGAUAUCAGGAGGAACACCAAUAGCGAAGGCAGCUCGCUGGGACGGUACUGACGCUAAGGCGCGAAAGCGUGGGGAGCGAACAGG